rnacentral:rRNA from 1 species
GGGGUCCUACGGGAGGCAGCAGUGGGGGAUAUUGCACAAUGGGGGAAACCCUGAUGCAGCAACGCCGCGUGAGGGAAGAAGGUUUUCGGAUUGUAAACCUCUGUCCCGGGUGAAGAAUAGAUGACGGUAGCCCGGGAGGAAGCUCCGGCUAACUACGUGCCAGCAGCCGCGGUAAUACGUAGGGAGCGAGCGUUGUCCGGAAUUACUGGGUGUAAAGGGUGCGUAGGCGGCCUUGUGGGUCAGGCGUGAAAUACAUGGGCUUAACCCAUGGACUGCGCUUGAAACUAUAAGGCUUGAGUGAAGUA